rnacentral:rRNA from 1 species
GACGAACGCUGGCGGCGUGCUUAACACAUGCAAGUCGAACGGGAAGGCCCUGCUUUUGUGGGGUGCUCGAGUGGCGAACGGGUGGGUAACACGUGAGUAACCUGCCCUUGACUUUGGGAUAACUUCAGGAAAAUGGGGCUAAUAACGGAUAGGAGCUCCUGCUGCAUGGUGGGGGUUGGAAGGUUUCGGCGGUUGGGGAUGGACUGGCGGCUUAUCAGCUUGUUGGUGGGGUAGUGGUUUACCAGGGCUUUGCCGGGUAGCCGGCCUGAGGGGGUGACCGGCCACAUUGGGACUGAGUUACGGCCCAGACUCCUACGGGAGGCAGCAGAGGGGAAUAUUGCACAAUGGGCGGAAGCGUGAUGCAGCAGCGCCGCGUGCGGUAUGACGGCCUUCUGUUUGUAAGCCGCUUUCGCCUGUGACGAAGCGUGAGUGACGGUAAUGGGUAAAGAAGCACCGGCUAACUACGUG